rnacentral:lncRNA from 1 species
UUAAUGCUUAUUUGCACAUUUUUAUUUGGUUUUCACCUUCUACAUAUAUACAAAUUAGUGAACAAAUAUUCUCUGUCCAAUAUUUUGACUCUCUGAUUUAGCAUGCACUUGUGCUUACUUGUUUGUUGUCUUAUCAAGUGCUAUCAGAACUUCUAAUAAAAAUUAGGGAAUGCUCUAAAGCUGCUUCUAUUCUUUCCGAAGAUGAAAUUCUCGAUUGUCUUCAAAGCAGUGUGGAAGCCUUGAAUGAUGAUGUAGUAGCCAAGGAAUGUUUCAUGGACCUUGGUUCAUUCCCUGAAGACCAGAGGAUUCCUGCCACUACCCUUAUUGAUAUGUAUAAACUGGAUGAGGAUGACGCCAUUGCCAAUCUCCACGAACUCUCUGAUAGGAAUCUGAUUGAAGUUGUAGUUACAAGGUACGACAUUAUCAUGGCCAGGGUAUUUAUUCUAGUAAUAGUAUGUGGAGUCUCCACAUAAACAUCGAUUCUACGAAUAUCAUAUGGACCUUUAUAUAUAAAAUGAGCUAUCCUGGAAAAUAUUAGAAGAACAAAUCAUGGAAAAUAUUAGAAGAACAAAACCAUUACCAACUGGUUUAUGGGGGGUUAAAAUAAUUGGUUAUCUUUUUGGGUUUCGCUGAUGGAUGACCAGCUUCAACUGCUAUGAUUGCAACUUUUGAUGGUCAUUAGAACUCCACUUAUGAUAUUCGUUUCAAUUAACUUGUGUGCUAUUAGUAGCUAACUUGUCAAGAGUGUGAGUCUCUAAGCAAUCAACGCCUGUGAUUCACCAGGAAAGAUGCAAACGAAGACGAUGGCUCCUAUAAUGAGCAUUUUGUCACGCAGCAUGACCUGCUCAGGGAGCUGGCCAUCCGUGGAAGCAACACAGGAAACAUUGAGCACAGGAAACGAGUAUUAUUGGAGAUAAUUGAAAAUAAAAUCCCUGAGUGGUUGAUGGAACAAGAUCAGCUAUCAAUCUGGGCCAAACUCUUAUCUAUCUCAACAGGUUAUUAAUCUCUAUAUUUUCUUAAUACAAAGAGAGCCUGGCCUCUGCGCACAUGCAUCGAACAUAACCAAUUUUUUAAUUUUGUUUUGUAUUUUCAUCACCUUGUUUGCAGAUGAAACAUUCUCAUCAAGUUGGUCCACCAUGCAAGCGCCGGAAGUUGAGGUUUUGCUUCUGAAUUUUCAGACAGAGAAAUACUCGUUGCCUGAGUUCAUAGAAAGAAUGAAUAAGCUAAAAGUUUUAGUACUUCACAAUUAUGGGUUCGUUCCAGCUGAAUUGAGCAAUUUCCCACUUCUUGGUUCUUUAUCAAAUCUUAAGAGAAUAAGGCUGGAAAAGGUUUCCAUCCCAUCCCUUUUCUUGACUUCAAUGAAAUGGAGGAAGCUAGAAAAGAUGUCCUUGGUUAUGUGCAAUAUUGAUCAAGCUUUUAAUAAAUCUACCAACAAGAUUUCGGAUGCUUUCCCAAAGUUAGUCGACCUCACCAUUGACUACUGCAAUGAUCUGGAGGAAUUGCCAACAGGAUUCUGUGAUCUUGUCUUGCUAAGAAAGCUCAGUAUCACAAAUUGUCAUAAGCUUUUGGCACUGCCAGAGGACAUGGGAAAUUUACUUGAUUUGGAGGUCCUAAGGCUCAACUCCUGCAUCGAAUUGACAGGGUUACCGGGCACAAUCGGUAGACUUCAUAAGUUGCAGAUUCUUGACUUAUCCGAAUGUCUGAGUGUAACAGAAUUGCCAGAACAGAUCGGUCAGUUGCAUGAUCUGAGAAAGCUCUACAUGAUAGAGUGCUCAAGUUGUGAAUUGCCAUCAUCAGUUGAGAAUCUUGUCCGCCUAAAAGAAGUAAUAGGCGAUCAAGAAACUGCCAUGUCAUGGAAUCGUUUCAAACCCUGCCUUCCAUCUCUGACGAUAAAGGUACAUAAGGAAAACAACUUGAACUGGCUUGGGUAGCCAUUGCUGUUUUCUGAUAAUGAUUAUUCUCCAAGAAUUCUGACGAGCCUUUAAUUUGUAAUGAUGUCAUUGUGCUUUUCUUUAAUGCAAAGAAAGAAGGUGUGAUUCUGUAAAUUGUUAGUAGCCAUUUUUCCUUGCAAAAAGAGGUUUCCUCAUAAACCCAAAACGCAGCUUGCCAGCAAUUUCUACGAGCUGAAAUUUUUUACUAGAUUUGAUGGAUUUUUGGUUUGAGGAUUAUCAUAGAAUCCAUUUGGACGAGCUUAUUUGAAUUGAUGAAGUAAAAUGAAUAAAAAGCUCUCAUGUUCUAUUUUUAGAGAGUAGGAGAUUUGACAUGCUUUUUUAUUAGAAAAUAAUAUAAAUCAUAUCAUGGAACCUCACUUAAUAAUUUAAAUUAUUGGGUUGAGAUGGUCCUUUAACAUGGUAUCAAAGCCUUGAUGAUCAAGUAGUCACGAGUUCGAAUCACACCAUCCCUAUUUAUUUGAUAAAAAUCAAGCACAAGGUAAUGUGAAUCCCACCAUCCCAAAAAAUAUAUAUUUUUUAAAAUAUAUAUAUAUAUAUAUAUCCUUCAACAAUUUAAUUUUUUUUUCUUUCUAUUAGUUUAUAUAUCGAUCUUAUGAAUUUUUUUUAUUUCAACUUUCAACAUUAGAUAUUUUGAAAGAAAGGUUUCGUAAUAUUUUUCAAUUAUUUUUUUAUGAAUUUAUCUCAAUCUCAUGGUUUAAGUCAUUGAUUUAACAAGUUAACCUAAGAUGAUUGAAGGUUUUUUUGCUGAUUUUUCUAAUUAAUUUAUUUUAUUUCAUCCUUCAACAUUGAGUUGAUUUAGAAUUGAGCUUCGUAAAUUUUUAUUCAAUUUUCUUUCUAUAAAGUUAUCUCGAUCUCAUGACAUGGUAUCAAAGCCUUGAUGAUCAAGUAGUCACGAGUUCGAAUCACAUCAUCCCUAUUUAUUUGAUAAAAAUCAAGCACAAGGUAAUGUGAAUCCCACCAUCCCAAAGGGCUUUCACUUGAGGGGGUGUGUUAGGGAAUAAUAUAAGUCAUAUCCUAGAACCUCACCUAAUAGUUUAAGCUAUCGGAUUGAGAUGAUUCCUUUGACACCUUUCAGGGGGAACAAUCAGUACAUAGAUUAGCUUGCUAAUUACAGCCAUAGACUGGUAGGGGUGGGAGGGUGUAUUCUAAUGCCGAAACCCCAUAUGGUCUUUAAUUUUUUUUAAAAAAAAAAACACUAAACGAAAUGGCUAAAUUGCAUAGCCAUUAGGUUUUGUUUUUUAAAAAAUAUAUAUAUCCUUCAACAGUUUAAUUUUUUUUUCUUUCUAUUAGUUUAUAUAUCGAUCUUAUGAAUUUUUUUUAUUUCAACUUUCAACAUUAGAUAUUUUAAAAGAAAGGUUUCAUAAUAUUUUUCAAUUAUUUUUUUAUGAAUUUAUCUCAAUCUCAUGGUUCAAGUCGUUGAUUUAACAAGUUAACCUGAGAUGAUUGAAGGUUUUUUUGCUGAUUUUUCUAAUUAAUUUAUUUUAUUUUAUCCUUCAACAUUGAGUUGAUUUAGAAUUGAGCUUCGUAAAUUUUUAUUCAAUUUUCUUUCUAUAAAGUUAUCUCGAUCUCAUGACUUGAAUUAUAAGUUUGACAGGUUGGCCUGUGUUAACUUAGUUAAUUUUUACGGGUCUUUUUUAUUUGAUUUUUUUUCAAUUUCACCCUCCAACAACCAAAACUUCUUCUUCUUUUUUUAGUUUUUUUUUUCAAUUUUAUCCUUCAAUAUUAAGUUAUUUGAGAAUUAGGUUUUGUUUAAUUUACUUUUUAUGAGGUUAUUUGGUCUCAUGGAUUUAAUGUUUUGUUCUUUUUUUAUUUUUUUUAAAAUUCAUCCUUAAACAUUGAAUUAAUUAGGAAUUGACCUUUAUAAUUUAAAUUGAUUUGUUUUUUUUAUAGAAUUAUUACGGUCUGAUGACCCAAAUCACAAAUUUGAGUGGUUAAUUCGGAUCGAUCUUAUAUGUUAUUAUCUUAAUAUUUUUUAAAACAAAGGACAACCAACAUGUCAUUGUAUUAAAUUAAAAAAAAAAUUCGUUCAAUAUGUAUCAUAUUUUGAGUUCAUGAUUUUUUUAUUAUAAAACAUGUUAUUAAUACUUAGAUAAUUGUUUAUAUAAAAAAAUGAUCUGACCCACAAUGUAGCAUGAGCCGAUUAUCCAAGUAACAACUAGAUAUUGUAAUUCCCCCUUCAUAAUUUGCUAGUCCCAUCUCAUAAUCUCUCUUUAAUUAAUAAAAUAAAAUAUGAAAAAAUACUCUUAGUUAUAUUAUUCACAAAUGAUGAUAAUAAAUGUUUUCUUGUGUUUACAUCUAUAUAUUUAAUAGGUAAAAGUCGAAAGAUAUUCACAUUUUUACCUUUGUUUUAAUCAUUUCCUAUCAUGAAAUUCAAUUUCUUUGAACAAACGUUUUUUUGGUCAUACUAUAUUUGUUUUUCAUAAAAGCAUUCUUUGUGUUUUAAAAUAUUAUUUUCCAAUAAAAUAUUUCUUUCAAAAACUAUAAUUGAAUAAAUUGAGAUUUUUUGAAAAUUAAAUUUUUAUACACUUGUUUUUUAUUUACAGUAAUUAUGAAGUUUAAUAAUUAAAAAAAUUAGUUUUCAAAGAUAAUUGAUUUGGUGAAAAUAAUGCACUCCGUAUUUAUAUGAAAGAUAAGGAUAAUAUAGUCUACCAAUAAACUUUGUAAUAAAUAUGAUGUUAAAAUAAUAAUUCAUGGAAUGAAAAUAUCACUACCUUUAUAACUAAUUUAAUUAUAGUAUUAAAUUUGCAUUUUAAUUAAUAAAUAAAUUAAGUUUGCAUAUUUAAAAGAGACAUUCUAUCACUUAAUUCAAUUCAUUUUAUUUUUUAUAUUACUAUCAUCACUGCAAAAUUACCUAAAAAUUCAAAUCCAAAUAUCUUUCAAUAAGAUCUUAUUUUCUUAUAGAGAUCAAAUAAUAUGACAGAAGAGAAUUUGUUGUGAUUUAAGUGCAUUCAAGAGAUGGAUGUUAAGGUCUAGAUCUAUUAAAAUAAAAUCUAAUCGAAGUGAAUGUGUGCGCAUUAUCUAUCUCCUGGAAUUUGACAUCUCUGGGAGUUUUUUCUGCUGAGACUGCUAGGGAAUUUCUCAGGAAGAAAGGGAAGAGAGAUGGAUGGUUCCUACUUUUGUGGGGUACUUUCCAUGUCCUAAGGCAAACUGUCGUAGGUUGGCCUGUAUUCUUUGAUAGAUUAACAAACAAGAAAAGGCAAAUCAAGUUGGUGUAGUUCUACUGCUGCAGUCUGCAGAUAGCAAAAUUUUCAACUCAGUGGCGUUUGAAGAAUGGGAUGUCGAGUCUUGUGGGGCCAAAGGAAAGUUGCAGGAAAAGGAUUCAAGUCUGGUGUCAUGAGAGUUUCUUGGUGUUUUUUAAUUUUCUUAACGUGGAAGGAAUGAAAUCGAAGGCCUCGAGAUGCUGUCAAGUUUUGAAAACUAAGGUUGUUUGGUGUUGUGUUUUGGAAAUGUUUUUGAAAAAAAGUUACAAAUUUUUAUUUUUUUUUCAAAUUAAUUUUUUUUUUUCAAAUUAAUAUGUUUUUGAUCUCUUGUUGUUAAAGAUAAUUUUUAAAAAAAUAAAAAAAAAUUAUUUUAAUAUGUUUUGAAAUGAAAAGUACUUUUGUAAAAUAGUCGCUACCAUACUCUCAAACACACUUAGUUAUAACAAAAAAUUGCUAACAAAGAAAAAUCGUCUUUGGUGUAGCAAAAGGUUGCUAACAAAGAAAAAUGAGAUCCUUCCCACUCAUACGGGUAAUAACUAGGUUCUCUAGUUUUCUUUUGUAUAAAUUAGAAAUUUAAAAACUAUCCAUGUAUUUUAUUCUUAAGUAACCAUAUAACAUGAAACUAAUAAUAUCCUCCUUGUAUUUUGUGUUUGGAAUACUAGAUUAUAUUAUUUUGUAUUUUUUAUGGUGUUUGGAAACCUCAAAUAAUAAAGUCAAUAACUUUAAAAAACAAUUACAAUAAAUAAAAGAAUAAACAUUAAAUUCCAAGAACAAGUGUUUUUGUUCUUGUUUUGGUAUGAUAAACACUCUAGGAUUUAAAAAUAUUAUUGUCUAAAGAAUAGAAAUUGUCGACCCCUUGAUGAUUCAUGAGAUAUUUAUAGCUUAGAAAUCUUAUUCUUUAGUUUGAAUAGAGGGGCUGAAAUGUAAUAUUAUCCUGAUAGCAUCAAUGAUGGAUAAAUAUAUAUUAUAUAAACAAUAAUAAAAAACAAAUAUCUCUUAAACAUACAUUAACAAUAUAUAAAUAUCUCUAGCUUUAACACUUUAUGUUAAAAGUCAUUAGAAUAGCCGAAUAAAGUCUUACGAUCCAAAAUAAAGCCUAUAAUGUUUUAUAGGCCUUUUGUUAUUUAUGCUUAGAACGCUGCCAAACCCAUGAUCAAUGGGUAUUGUAAUGAGUUUUACACAUGUCCAUUUGAGUUUGGCACGUAACUAAACUUGAGCUAAACCCAUGCCAUCCGGACUAAGUAUUUUAUCAAAUCUAUAAAUGUUGGGUAUAGACGCGAGACCUGCCUACUUUUGAAGGCAUUAUUAUCUUGCAUUUGAAUCUUUGAAAUAGAAACUUAGGCCCGACAAAAUAUAGAUCCAUCACUAUUAUUAUUUUUCUUGUACAAGACAGAGACUAAAGAAAAAUGAAUUUUAAAAUAUCUUAAGCUUUUCAUAUUUUAUUACUAGUUUGAAUAUGAAUCACUUACACUUUUAUAUCCUUUCAAUAUAAUCAAAUUGUGAAGAGCUUAUUGAAAUUAUUAAAAAUAUUCACAAUGAUAUUACUAAGAAAUCACACUUCAACUUUAUUGGAUCAAUAUUUUUCAAAAAAUAGAGAAAUGAUAUAUAUAACUAUAGUUUAGUCCUAAAAUUUUAUCUUAACACAAACAAGUUAAUAUAAUAAAAAUUUUACUAUCUUCUAUGAUGCUAUAAUGUGUUUGCCAUUGCAAUCUUCAAAAAAUACUUGCACGGUUAUAAAGUACAAUUUUAUUUUUUAAUUCAAAAAAAGUGCAUUCUCAUUAUUUAUUCAAAUUGGGAUAAAAAAAUCAUUAUUAUAAAAUAGGACAUAAAAGAUAUAAAUAGUUACUAAAACUCAUAAUUCGGAUUAUGGACCCCACUAGGUUUAGAAAAAAAAUUAUUUAUUUUUAUUUAAUAACAUGAUAACAGAAAUAAACACUUGUAAAAUUAAGUAUUUAUCAAAUAGUUAAUUUUUCAUAUCUUUAAGGAAUACUUCUUAAAUUCUAAGUUUUAAUAUAUAUUUAUGACCUCAAAAAAAAAUUAAUCUUAUGGUGAUUACAAUAAAAUAUUUUGAAGCAGAGAUAUGAAUAAGUUGAGGUCUUUACUUGAAUUUAAUAUAAAUAAAUGAAUCUAUUAUAUAAUAUAUAUGAUUGAAAUUUCUAAACUUGUUUAUUAAAUUGAUGAGAUAUAGAUUUACUAAUGAUUUUUGGCUGAGUUUUAAAAGAAAAAGCACGUGUUGCAUGGGAUAUUUAAAGAUUAAAAUGGAGAAAAUCUAAUAAAAAUAGUGUCAAUAAAACACCAUAAACAUUUAAGGCAUGUAUAUUUCAUGGAAAGUGGUUUUUUUUUAUAAACUAUUUUUAAAAUUGUUUUAUGUUUAUUUAAUAUUAAAAAAUUUAAUCAGUAAAAAAAAAAUUUCAGUAAAAAAAAAAUUGACUUGUUUUUUUAGGAAAAUAAUAUUUUUAUAAGUUGUAAAAACUUAAAAAUAUCUUUUUAUUUAUUAAAUAUAUCAAAUUAAGUUGUGAUCUUUUAAUUGUUGUAUAUUUUAUGUUUAUUUUUUUAAAAUUUUAUUCUUUAAAAUUCAAUAUAAUAUGAUUUGAUUUUUAUAUAACUUUAAUCCUUGUUGUUUUUUUAUAAUUGAAAUUAGAAAAGAUAAUUAUUGGAGUUGUCAAUAAAAAAAUGCCAACGUUACACGGGGAUUUCUCAGAAAGAAAGGGAAGAGAGGUGGAUGGUUCAUACUUUUGUGGGGUAUGUCGAGUCCUGUGGGGCCAAAGGAAAGUUGCAGGAAACGGAUUCAAGUCUGGUGUCAUGAGAGUUGCUUGGUGUUUUUUAAUUUUCUUAAUUUGGAAGGAAUGAAAUCGAAGACCUCAAGAUGCUGUCAAGUUUUGAAAACGUAAGGUUUGUUGGUAUUGUGUUUUGGAAAUGUUUUUUAAAAAAAAUUAAUUUUUUUUAAAAAAAUUAAUAUGUUUUUUUUUCUUCAAAUUAAUAUAUUUUUGAUAUUUUUAAAAUAUAAAAUUAUUAUUUUAAUAUGUUUUGAGAUAAAAAAUACUUUAUAAAGUAAUUAUUAUCAUACUCUCAAAUAUGACAAAGAAAAAUCCUUUUAGGUGCAGCAAAAAGUUGCUAACAAAGAAAAUGAGAUCCUUCCGACUCAUGUCACACGAGUAAUAUCAAGUUUUUUUUGUUUUUUUUUUUGUAUAAAUUAGAAUUUUAAAAAUUAUCUAUGUAUUUUAUUCUUAAGUAACCAUAUAACACAAAACGUAAUAAUAUCCUCUUUUUAUUUUGUGUUUGGAAUACUAGAUUACAUUAUUUUGUAUUUUUUAUGGUGUUUGGGACCCUCAAAUAAUCUUUUGGUGAACGUUGUUUCUUAGAAAUCCAGAAGCAUAUAUUUCAUUAACUUUGUCCUGAUAUAUAUAUAUAUAUAUAUAUAUAUAUAUAUAGAGAGAGAGAGAGAGAGAGAGAGAGAGAGAGAGAGAGAGAACCAUCCUUCAUCUUGAAGAAUUUAUUUAUUAUAAAGUUGGAAAGAGUCUAGGGAGUGAAAGUUCGAUGCUCUGACGAGGAAGCUGCCAUGAAAUUCCUCAUUGCAAGCUGCUCUGACGGGCAACAAAAGUUGGAAAGAUGCCUCGACAGUUGACUUGACUUAACUGUAGCAGUAAUUUUUUUACAAAAGUUUGAUUGAAUUAAAAAAUAUAUAUAAAUGCACUAAAAAAACACUAUCCUAAGUCUUUGAGCUAACGGAAUCCUUCAGGUCUUCAACUCCGGUGAAAGGUAACUCGGUCCUUAAGCCUUUAAAAUUCUUGAUUUGGACCUUGUGUUCUUCUCUUUAUGAAAUGUCACCCCCAAGUUCUAUGUAUCUACAAAUUAAAAUCUACACAUCUCACAAUCUUAUGGGUCCCCCACAUGAGAUUUAAUUUGUUAAUAAAUUAAACCAUGAAAGAAGGGCUGUCAAGGACCAAUGUCACAAACUUUAAAGAUUAGGGACGAAGUUUCUUUUGAUCAAAACUUCAGGGGAGGUUUGAAUCAAUUAGUUUUCAAUAUAUGUAUAAAGGAACAGAGAAACAACUAAAAUAAGAGAAUUACAUUAUGGUCACCAAUCAAAAAAUAAUUUAAGGUUGAAAAGUCAAUCCUCUCAAGUCCACACACUUUACACAUCAUCAACACAAGAAAUUAGAAAACUAGCAUAUAAUGAUGCUUUACUUCGUUUCUCAAGAAAGAAAACACGAUAGGAAAUCGAGUGCCCCGGAAAAGAUUUCCAUCUACCCAAAACAGCCCAGAAACCAUUUUCCUCUGAACUUCAGUUCCUCACUAGUUGUUGUACAAAAUUCAGCUGGUUUUUCUUUGUGAAAAAGAAGCCAUGGCAGGUCAAGUUGUGAUAUCAGCAGUUGCUGGGGCUGGUUUCCAGAUGAUUUUUGGUGAUUUCACAGAGGUGGUUUUAGAAGCACUGAAAAACAACUCCCAGUUCAAGCCAAGCUUGAAGCGCCUAGCGGAUAUGUUAGAAGAAAUGGCUCCAAAUAUCAAGAGAAUAGAGUCUUUCAACAGAGAGCUUGAUCAACCAAAGCAACUUGAAGGGCUCAAAGGAUUAAUGAAAAAAGGCAAUGAUUUAGUCUCUAAAUGCUCAAAAAUCCAUAAAUACAACUAUUAUAAGAGGCCUCUUUAUAACAAGAAACUUCUCAAGUUGGGGAAGGAUAUUCGUGAUCAUAUUACCCGUUUGCAACUUCAGGGAAUAGCAGAUACAAAAGAGAUUUUGCAUACUCAAAGACAGUUAAAUGAUCAAAUCGGGAAGUUAAGCAUGACUCUAAGCAAUGGUGGUAGGGUGGAUUCAAGCAAGAGCUAUAGUAAUACUAUUUUAGCUGGUGUGUGCUCGCCUCCUCUACUGAAAGUGGAUCCUGUUGGAUUGGAGAUUCCAUUGAGUGAUUUGAGGAUAAAGCUGCUUAAUGACGAGACAUCACAGCAUAUAGUGUUAUCUGCUCCUGGAGGAUGUGGAAAGACAACAUUGGCUACAGCACUUUGUCAACAUGGGGAUGUUAAAGGUACACAUAUACUACUUGAGAGUUCUUUUGACUACCUCCUUUUGUCUUUCUAUUCUUCUGCUUAUUUUUGGUCCGGCUAUUUGUAUCCAUUUUUUUUAUGGUCAGAGAGUGUUUGAGUUGGUACACCUGUUAUAAAGGUUCUAUGAUCAUGUUAGGCGAACAAUUUUUCAAACAGAAUAGGGUAUCUGAACAAAGUUGAGCUUUAGUGCCCGAAAAGGUUUCAUUAUGUUUUUUAUUUGUAUCCUUUCGUUUUUCUGGUUUAAUGUGUAUCUCUAUUAAGGUUCAUGUACAUUCUCUUGUUGAAUUAUUCAUUUUUUAAGAAAUAAAAACAUAGAGACUUGUGUUUCUGCAGAAUUGUGGGGCUGUUAUUGAUUGAAAUAAGCAAAUGUAUGACAUUUUAGACACAGUUCAUUACUUGGAACUCUUUGGCAGAGUAAAUGAAGCAAUUCCCAUAUUUUGCUUUUAGUUUUUCUGAGGAUUAGAAUUUGGAGUUCCACACUUAGGCUCUUGUAUCCGUUUUGAUUUAGCUAUAUGUGAAAACAUAAGAAUUGCUGAAGAAAUUUCAUUACAGCGUUCUUCUUUUCCGACUUUUCAGAUAAAUUCAAGAGCAAUAUCUUCUUUGUCAGCGUUCCAAAGCUGCGCAACCUGAUGGUCAUUGUGAAGAUGAUAUUCCAGCAUAAAGAAAUUGAGUUACCUGAUUUUCGAAGUGAAGAAGAUGCAGCUAACCAUUUGGAACGUUUGUUCCAGCAGAUAGGACCAGAUCCAAUAUUAUUGGUCCUUGAUGAUGUUUGGCCCGAAUCGCAAUCUAAUCUUGACAAGCUCAAAUUCCGAAUAGAAAAUUACAAGAUUUUGGUGACAUCAAGAUAUGAAUUUCCAAGUUUUGGAUCCACAUAUAAAUUGAAAACAUUGAAUCUUGCAGAUGCCAUGACCCUUUUUCAGAAAUUGGCAUUUCCAUUGGAUCAGCAGUCAUAUGCUCCAGAUCAGCAAAUUCUAGAGGAGGUGAUUUAUCAACCUGCAAUUAUUAAUGCUUAUUUGCUCAUUUUUAUUUGGUUUUCACCUUCUACAUAAAUACAAAUUAGUGAACAAAUAUUCUCUGUCCAAUAUUGUGACUCUCUGAUUUAGCAUGCACUUGUGCUUACUUGUUUGUUGUCUUAUCAAGUGCUACCAGAAGUUCAAAUAAAAAUUCUGAAACCAUGUGUUUUGAAUCUGUAAAUUUACUCCAGGGACGAUAUCUUACAAUUUUGCAACUAUAGAAAAGAAAAGAAAAACGUCCAUUUUACACCUUUAAGAAACCAUCGAUGAGUUUACACAAUGGAACUUUAUUUUUAGUUUGUUACUGCCCACCAACCUGCAAGGAUUGACUGAUUUUUGUCAUGGCACUGAAUUGCAGAUGGUAAAAUACUGCAGGGGAUUUCCUCUAGUCAUUUCAGUGGUUGGAAAAUCUUUGUGCCGGAAGUCCGCUGCAGAAUGGCGUAAGAGACAUAGGGAAUGCUCUAAACCUGCUUCUAUUCUUUCUGACAAUGAAAUUCUCGAUUGUCUUCAAAGCAGUGUGGAAGCCUUGACUGAUAAUGUAGAAGCCAAGGAAUGUUUCAUGGACCUUGGUUCAUUCCCUGAAGACCAGAGGAUUCCUGCCACUACCCUUAUUGAUAUGUGGGCAGAAUUGUAUAACCUAGAUGAGGACAACGCCAUUGCCAAUCUCCACGAACUCUCUGAUAGGAAUCUGAUUGAAGUUGUUGUUACAAGGUAUGAUAGCUAUGAACCCUAUUGACAUUAUCAUGGCCAGGGUAUUUAUUCUAGUAAUAGUAUGUGGAAUCUUCACAUAAACAUUGAUUCUACGAAUAUCAUAUGGAUCCUACUACCACAUGGACCUUUAUAUAUAAAAUGAGCUAUCCUUGAAAAUAUUAGAAGAACAAAACCAUUACCAACUGGUUUAUGGGUGUUAAAAUAAUUGGUUUUCGUUUUGGGUUUCGCCGAUGGAUGACCAGCUUCAACUGCUAUGAUUGCAACUUUUGAUGGUCAUUAGAACUCCACUUGUGUUAUUCAUUUCAAUUAACUUGUGUGCUAUUAGUAGCUAACUUGUCAAGAGUGUGAGUCUCUAAGCAAUCAACUGCUGUGAUUCACCAGGAAAGAUGCAAACGAAGACGAUGGCUCCUAUAAUGAGCAUUUUGUCACGCAGCAUGACCUGCUCAGGGAGCUGGCCAUCCGUGGAAGCAACUCAGGAAACAUUGAGCACAGGAAACGAGUAUUAUUGGAGAUAAUUGAAAAUAAAAUCCCUGAGUGGUUGAUGGAACAAGAUCAGCUAUCAAUCAGGGCCAAACUCUUAUCUAUCUCAACAGGUUAUUAAUCCCUAUUAUUUUCUUAAUACAAAGAUAGCCUGGCCUCUGCGCACAUGCAUGCGCACAAGCAUCAAACAUACGCAACCAAUUCUUAAUUAUUAUUUUUUGUAUUUUGAUCACCUUGUUUGCAGAUGAAAAAUUCUCAUCAAGUUGGUCCACCAUGCAAGCGCCGGAAGUUGAGGUUUUACUUCUGAAUUUGCGGACAGAGAAAUUCUCAUUGCCUGAGUUCAUAGAAAGAAUGAAUAAGCUAAAAGUUUUAGUACUUCACAAUUAUGGGUUCGUUCCAGCUGAAUUGAGCAAUUUCCCACUUCUUGGUUCUUUAUCAAAUCUAAAGAGAAUAAGGCUGGAGAAGGUUUCCAUCCCAUCCCUUUUCUUGACUUCAAUGAAAUGGAGGAAGCUAGAAAAGAUGUCCUUGGUUAUGUGCAAUAUUCAUCAAGCUUUUAAUAAAUCAACCAACAAGAUUUCGGAUGCUUUCCCAAAGUUAGUCGACCUCACCAUUGACUACUGCAAUGAUCUGGAGGAAUUGCCAACAGGAUUCUGUGAUCUUGUCUUGCUAAGAAAGCUCAGUAUCACAAAUUGUCAUAAGCUUUUGGCACUGCCAGAGGACAUGGGAAAUUUACUUGAUUUGGAGGUCCUCAAGGCUCAACUCCUGCAUCGAAUUGACAGGGUUACCGGGCACAAUCGGUAGACUUCAUAAGUUGCAGAUUCUUGACUUAUCCGAAUGUCUGAGUGUAACAGAAUUGCCAGAACAGAUCGGUCAGUUGCAUGAUCUGAGAAAGCUCUACAUGAUAGAGUGCUCAAGUUGUGAAUUGCCAUCAUCAGUUGCGAAUCUUGUCCGCCUAAAAGAAGUAAUAGGCGAUCAAGAAACUGCCAUGUCAUGGAAUCGUUUCAAACCCUGCCUUCCAUCUCUGACGAUAAAGGUACAUAAGGAAAACAACUUGAACUGGCUUGGGUAGCCAUUGCUGUUUUCUGAUAAUGAUUACUCUCCAAGAAUUCUGACGAGCCUUUAAUUUGUAAUCAUGUCAUUGUGCUUUCCUUUAAUGCAUAGAAAGAAGGUGUGAUUCUGUAAAUUGUUAGUAGCCCUCUUUAAAAAUCGUAUUAUAACGGCGUCAAGCCAUUUUUCCUUGCAAAAAGACGUUUCUUGAUAAACCCAAAACGCAGCUUGCCAGCAAUUUCUACGAGCUGCAAUAUUUGACUAGAUUUUAUGGAUUUUUGGUUUGAGGAUUAUCAUAGAAUCCAUUUGGACGAGCUUAUUUGAAAUGAUGAAGUAAAAUAAAGAAAAAGGUCGUCUAGUGUGUUUAUAUAUAUAUAAAAGCUCUCAUGUUCUAGCUUUGAAAUGUCUUUUUUAGAGAUUGGGAGAUUUGAAUUCUAAACACCUUUCAGGGGGGACAAUGAGUAUACAGAUACAGAUUAGCUUGCUAACUACAGCCAUAGAAUGGUAGGGGUGGUAGGUGUAUUCUAAUGCCAAAACCCCAGUCCCUUUACGGGCUUUCCCUAAAAAAAUAAAAAAAAAUAAAAAAAACAACCCACAACAGCGAAAACACUAAACGUUAUGGCUAUUGGCUAAAUUGCAUAGCCAUUAGGUAUUUUACGUCUGGAAUAUUAGAUUGUAUUAUUUUGGUGUUUGGAAUUAUGACAAAGUUAAUAAUUUUUUUAAAAAAAAUUACAAUAAAUAAUAGAAUAAACAUUUAAUUCCAAGAACAAGUGUUUUUGUUUUUAUUUUGAAAUGCUAAAUGCUUUGUGAUUCAAAAGUACUAUUGUCUAGAGAAUAGAAAUUGUUAAUCCCUUAUCUGGUAAUUCAUGAGAUAUUUAUAAUCUAUGAAUAUUAUUUUUUAGUUUAAGUGGAGGAGUUGAAAUGUAAUUUUAUCUUGAUAUCAUUAAUAAUAAAUAAAUAUUUCUUACACAAACAUUAAUAAGAGACAAAUAUCUCUUAUGCAUACAUCAACAAUAGAUAAAUAUAUCUAACUUUAACACUUUAUAUUAAAAAUCAUAACAAUAAGCAAAUAAAAUCUUAUGACUCAACAUGAAGCCUAUAAUAAUUUAUAGACUUUUAGCUUUUUAUGCUUAGUACACUACCAAACCCAUGAUCAAUGGAUAUGGUAGCGAGCUAUACAGAUGAUGAUUAUUGAUUAGGCCUCGACACGUAACUAAGCUUGAUUUAAUCUCAUGCCAUCUAAGCUAAGUAUUUUGUCAAUUUUAAAAAUGUUGGGUACAAACAUGAGGCUUAUCCACUUAUCAAGACACUAUUAUCUUUCAUUUGAAUUUAUUUUUCUUGUACAAGAUAGAGACUAAUGAAAACAGAAUUUCAAAAGAUCUUAAGCUUUUCAUAAUUUAUUACUAGUCUGAAUAUAUAUCACUUAUACUUUUAUAUCCUUUCAAUAUAAUCAAAUUGUCAAGAGUUUAUUAUAAUUAUUAAAAAUAUUUACAAUGAUAUUACUAAGAAAUCACUCUUAAACUUUAUUGGAUUAAUAUUUUUUUAAAAACAGAGAAAUCGAAGACCUCAUGAUGCUGUCAAUUUUGAAAACUAAGAGUGAUUUAGGUGCAGCAAAAGGUUACCAAAGGAAAACGAGAUCCUUCCUACUCAUGUCAUGAAUAGUAUUUAAUUCCUCUAUGGUUUUUUUUUAUAUAUAUAAAUUAGAAAUUUAAGAAUUGUCCAUGUAUUAUGUUCUUAAUUAACCAUUUAACACGGAAUGUAAUAGUAUCUUCCUUAUAUUUUGAGUUUGGAAUAUACUAGAUUGUAUUUUUUAUGGUGUUCAAAACAAUCAAUAACUUUUAAGAAAAUAAUUAUAAUAAAUAAGAAAAUAAACAUUAAAUUUCAAGAAUAAAUGUUUUUAUUCUUGUUUUGAUAUGAUAAAUAUUUUAGGAUUUAAAAGUAUUAUUUUUUAGACAAUAAAAACAAUUAACAUAAUUCAUGAGAUAUUUGUAACUUGUGAAUUUUAUUUUUUUAGUUUGAGUGGAGGGGCUAGAAUUUAAUUUUGCCCAGCAUUAAUAAUAGAUAAAUAUCUCUAAUAUAAAUAUUAAUAAAAAAAAAAUAUCUCUUAUAUAUACAUUAAUAAUAGAUAGAUAUCUCUAACAUUAACAUUUUAUGUUAAAAGUUAUAAGAAUAAAUAAAUAAAGUCUUCCGACCCAAAAUGAGGCUUGUAAUGAUUUAUAGACCUUUAACCCUUUGUGCUUCGCGCAUUGCCAAACCCAUUAUCAAUGAGUAUGGUAGGGAGCUAUACACAUAUUUAUUUGGACUUGACACGUAACUAAGCUUGAGCUAAACUCAUGCUAUUAAGAAGCUAAGUAUUUUGUCAAAUCUAAAAAUGUUGGGUAUAGAUACGAGACAGACCUGCCCACUUAUCAAGGCAUUAUAAUCUUGCAUUUGGAUAUUUGAAAUAAAAACUUAGGCCGGCAAAAUAUAGAUCCAUCAAUAUUAUUAUUUUUCUUGUACAUGACAGAGACCAAAGAAAAAAAGAAUUUCAAAAUAUCUUAAGCUUUUCAUGCUUUAUUACUAGUUUGAAUAUGAAUCACUUACACUUUUAUAUCCUUUCAAUAUAAUCAAACUGUGUAGGGCUUAUUAUAAUUAUUAAAAAUAUUCAUAAUGAUAUUACUAAGAAUUCACUCUUCAAUUUUAUUGGAUCAAUAUUUAAAAACAAAUUAGAGAAAUGAUAGUCGCACACUCGAUUCCUGCAUUUACUGCUAAAUUUUUUUCAUAGCACAAACAUGUUAAUAUACUAAAACUUUUACAAUUUUAUUUUUUAAUUAAAAAAAAGUGCAUUCUCAUUAUUUAUUCAAAUUAGGAUAAAAAAGCAUCAUUAUUAUAAAAUAGGACAUAUCAAUAGUUACUAAAAGACAUAACUCGGAUUAUAAACCCCAUUAAAUUUAGAAAAAAAUAUUUAUUUUUAUUUAAUAGUAUAAUAACAAAACUAAACACUUGGAAUAUUAAGUCUUAAACUCUAAGUUUUGAUAUAUAUUACCUCAAAAAAAAGUUAUUAAUCUUCUUGCAAUUACAAUAAAAUAUUUGGAAGCAGAGAUAUGAAUAAAUUGAGGUCUUUAUUUGAAUUUUAAUAUAAAUAAAUGCAUCUAUUAUACAGUACAUAUGAUUCAAAUUUCUAAACUUAUUUAUUAAAUUGAUGAGAUAUGAAUUUAUUAAUGAUUUUUGGGUGAGUUUUGAAGAAAAAGCAAGUGUUGCAUGAGAUAUUUAAAGAUUAAAAUGAAGAAAAUCUAAUAAAAUAGUGUCAAUCAAACACUAUAAACAUUUAUUAUCUAUAUGUUUUGGAAAGUGAUUUUUUUAAUUAUUUUUAAAAUUGUUUUGUUUUUAUUUAACAUUAGAAAAGUUAGACAAUAGAAAACACUUUUCAAUUUAAGAAAACAUUUAGCUUAGAUUUUCAAAAAAAAAUAUUUUCUUUUAAUUUUAAAUGGAAAAUACUUUUCAAAAGUUGUAAAAAAACUUAAAAAUAUCUUUUUAUUUAUUAAAUAUAUCAAAUUAAGUUGUAAUCUUUUAAUUGUUGUAUAUUUUAUUUUUAAUUUUUUUAAAUUUAAUUUAAUAUAACUUAAUUUUAAUAAUCCCACUAUUUUUUUAUAAUUAAAAUUAAAAAAAGAUAAUUAUUAGAGUUCUGAAUAAGAAAUGCCAACGUCACACGGUUUAAGCUACUACUUAUUUUGUUCUUAUAGAUUUUGUUUUGGACAAUUAAGUGCAAAAUAAUUAGUAUAAAGCAUUGACGGGAAUAAAUUAUAUUACACUAAAAAAUUAAAAUAGACCUAUAUGGUAACAACCUAGAAUUUAUUAUUAUUAUUAUUAUUAUUAUUUAUUAACAUGAAUAUCCAAACUAACUGGCAUGAAUCUCAACUAAUUUAAAAAAUAUUAAAAUUAAUAAUUAUAUAAAUCUCAAGUGACCUUAAAAUUUAUGGUAUUCAAACUAAUAACCUUUUAAAAAAUAAAUUUAAAAUUUAAUGAGUUAAGUCAUACCCUAGAAUUAUUUUUAUUUGUUGAGUUGUUUGUUAAAGUUGCACAUUAGUCAUCUUUUGGUGAACGUGGUUUCUUAGAAGUCAAGAAUCAUAUAUUUCUUGAACAAUUUAUUUGAUUCUCAAAGUGGACCAACGGGCGAUAAAAGUUGAAAAGAAUCUACAGAGUGAAAGUUCGAUGCACUGACGAGGAAGCUGCCAUGAAAUUCCUUAUUGCAAGCUGCCAUGCCCCACCUGCCUCGACCGUCGACUUGACUUAACUAUAGCAGUAUUUUUUUUUUUAGAAAAGUGUGUUUGAAUUAAAAAAAAAAUAUAAUGUUCUUUCAGGUUUUUGUUUUUUCAGCAUCAAGGUAUUGAUAUUAAAAUCGUUUAAAAAUAUUUAAAAAAUUAUCAAAUUACCAUUCAAAUACACUUUAAAAAAUCCUUUCGAACACAAUAUAAAUGCGCUAAAAAAGCAUUAUCCGAGUAUGUUUGUCAAUGUGGUAGCAAUUGUUUUUCAAAUAAUUUUUCGUGUUGAAAUACAUGUCAAUGAUAUUUUUUUAUUUUUAAAAAAUUAUUUUUGAUAUCAACAUAUCAAAACGAUUCAAAACGUACAAACCGUAUUAAAUUUUAACAAAAAAAAAAUUAAAUUUGACGGAAACACAAUUUCAACCGUGUUCCCAAACACUUCGCAAGUCUUUGAUCUAACGGAAUCCUUCAAGGCUUCAACUCCGGUGAAAGGAAACUCAGUCCUUAAGCAUUUAAAAUUCUUGAUUUGGUCCUUGUGUUCUUCUCUUUAUGAAAUGUCACACCCAGGUUCUAUGUAUUAAUAAAUUAAAAUCUACAUGUGAAUAUCCUUUAAAGGACACACAUCUCACGAUCUUAUGGGUCCCCACAUGAGAUUUAAUUUGUUAAUAAAUUAAACCAUGAAAGAAGGGCUGUCAAGGACCAAUGUCACAAACUUUAAAGAUUAGGGACGAAGUUUCUUCUGAUCAAAACUUCAGGGAAGGUUUGAAUCAAUUAGUAUUCAAUAUAUGUAUAUAGGAACAGAGAAACAACUAAAAUAAGAGAAUUACAUUAUGGUCACCAAUCAAAAAAUAAUUUAAGGUUGAAAACUCAAUCCUCUCAAGUCCACACACUUUACACAUCAUCAACACAAGAAAUUAGAAAACUAGCAUAUAAUGAUGCUUUACUUCGUUUCUCAAGAAAGAAAACACGAUAGGAAAUCGAGUUCCCCGGAAAAGAUUUCCAUCCACCCAAAACAGCCCAGAAACCAUUUUCCUCUUAACUUCAGUUCCUCACUAGUUGUUGUACAAAAAUCAGCUGGUUUUUCUUUGUGAAAAAAAGCCAUGGCAGGUCAAAUUGCUGUAUCAGCAGUUGCUGGGGCUGGUCUCGAGAUCAUUUUUGGUGAUUUCUUAAAAAUGGUUUUAAAAGCAAAGAAAAACAACUCCCAGUUCGAGCCAAGCUUGAAGCGCCUAGAGGAGAUGUUGAAUGAUAUGACUCCAAAUAUCAAGAGAAUAGACUCUUUCAACAGAGAACUUGAUCAACCAGAGCAACUUGAAAGGCUCAAAGGAUUAGUGACAAAAGGCAAUGAUUUAGUCUCUAAAUGCUCAAAUAUCCAUAAAUACAACUACUUGAAGAGGCCUAUUUAUAACAAGAAACUUCUCAAGUUAGAGAAGGAUAUUCGCGAUCAUAUUAGCAGUGUUUUGCAACUUCAGGUGGUAGCAGAUGCAAAAGAGAGUUUGCAUACACAAAAUUCGACUUUGGUCGCUGUGAAAGGUGUUUCUUCUGGAGUAAGACAGUUAAAUGAUCAAUUCGGGAAGUUAACCAUGACUCUAAGCAAUGGUGAUUGGGUGGAUUCAAGCAAGAGCUAUAGUAAUACUAUUUUAGCUGGUGUGUGCUCGCCUCCUCUACUGAAAGUGGAUCCUGUUGGAUUGGAGAUUCCAUUGAGUGAUAUGAGGAUAAAGCUGCUUAAUGAUGAGACAUCACAGCAUAUAGUGUUAUCUGCUCCUGGAGGAUGUGGAAAGACAACAUUGGCUACAGCACUUUGUCAACAUGGGGAUGUUAAAGGUACACAUUUACUACUUGAGAGUUCUUUUGACUACCUCCUUUUGUCUUUCUACUUCUUCUGCUUAUUUUUGGUCCGGCUAUUUGUAUCCAUUUUUUUAUGGUCAGAGAGUGUUUUAGUUGGUACACCUGUUAUAAAGGUUCUAUGAUCAUAUUAGGCGAACAAUUUUGCAAACAGAAUAGGGUAUCUGAACAAAGUUGAGCUUUGGUGCCCGAAAGGUUUCAUUAUGUUUUUUAUUUGUAUCCUUUUGUUUCUCUGGUCUAAUGUGUAUCUCUAUUAAGCUUCAUGUACAUUCUCUUGUUGAAUUAUUCAUUUUUCAAGAAAUAAAAACAUAGAGACUUGUGUUUCUGCAGAAUUGUGGGGCUUUUAUUGAUUGAAAUAAGCAAAUGUAUGAUAUUUUAGACACGGUUCAUUACUUGGAACUCUUUGGCAGAGUAAAUGAAGCAAUUCCCAUAUUUUGCUUUUAGUUUUUCUGAGGAUUAGAAUUUGGAGUUCCACAUGUAGGCUCUUGUAUCCGUUUUUAUUUAGCUAUAUGUGAAAACAUAAGAAUUCCUGAAGAAAUUUCAUUACAGCGUUCUUCUUUUCCGACAUUUCAGAUAAAUUCAAGAGCAACAUCUUCUUUGUCAACGUUCCAAAGCUGCGCAACCUGAUGAUCAUUGUGAAGAUGAUAUUCCAGCAUAAAGAAAUCGAGUCACCUGAUUGUCGAAGUGAAGAAGAUGCAGCUAACCAUUUGGAACGUUUGUUCAUGCAGAUAGGACCAGAUCCAAUAUUAUUGGUCCUUGAUGAUGUUUGGCCAGUGUCGGAAUCUAUUCUUGACAUGCUCAAGUUCCGAAUAGAAAAUUUCAAGAUUUUGGUGACAUCAAGAUAUGAAUUUCAAAGUUUUGGAUCCACAUAUAAAUUGAAAACAUUGAAUCCUGCAGAUGCCAUGACCCUUUUUCAGAAAUUGGCAUUACCACGGGAUCAGCAGUCAUAUGCUCCAGAUCACCAAAUUCUAGAGGAGGUGAUUUAUCAACCUGCAAUUAUUAAUGCUUAUUUGCUCAUUUUUAUUUAGCUUUCACCUUAUACAUAAAUACAAAUUAGUGAACAAAUAUUAUGUGUCCAAUAUUUUGACUCUCUGAAUUAGCAUGCACUUGUUCUUACUUGUUUGUUGUCUUAUCAAGUGCUAUCAGACCUUCAUGUAAAAAUUCUGAAACCAUGUGUUUUGAAUCUGUAAAUUUACUCCAGGGAUGAUAGCUUACAACUUUGCAACUAUAGAAAAGAAAAGAAAAGCAUCCAUUUUACACUUUUAAGAAACAAUCGAUGUGUUUACACAAUGGAACUUUAUUUUUAGUUUGUUACUGCCCACCAACCUGCACGGAAUGACUGAUUUUUGUCAUGGCACUGAAUUGCAGAUGGUAAAAUACUGCAGGGGAUUUCCUCUAGUCAUUUCAGUGGUUGGAAAAUCUCUGCGCCGGAAGUCUGCUGCAGAGUGGCGUAAAAGACAUAGGGAAUGCUCUAAAGCUGUUUCUAUUCUUUCCGACUAUGACAAAAUUCUCGAUUGUCUUCAAAGCAGUGUGGAAGCCUUGGAUGAUAAUGUAGCAGCCAAGGAAUGUUUCAUGGACUUUGGUUCAUUCCCAGAAGAUCAGAGAAUUCCUGCCACUACCCUUAUUGAUAUGUGGGCAGAAUUGUAUAACCUGGAUGAAGAUGACGCCAUUGCCAAUCUCCACAAACUCUCUGAAAUGAAUCUGAUUGA